rnacentral:rRNA from 1 species
GCGUGAGUGAUGAAGGCCUUCGGGUCGUAAAGCUCUUUUACCAGGGAUGAUAAUGACAGUACCUGGAGAAUAAGCUCCGGCUAACUCCGUGCCAGCAGCCGCGGUAAUACGGAGGGAGCUAGCGUUGUUCGGAAUUACUGGGCGUAAAGCGCACGUAGGCGGUUUUUUAAGUCAGAGGUGAAAGCCCGGGGCUCAACCCCGGAAUAGCCUUUGAAACUGGAAAACUUGAAUCUUGGAGAGGUCAGUGGAAUUCCGAGUGUAGAGGUGAAAUUCGU